ACUGCGAAUGGCUCAUUAUAUAAGUUAUCGUUUAUUUGAUAGUACCUUACUACUUGGAUAACCGUGGUAAUUCUAGAGCUAAUACAUGCUGAAAAUCCCGACUUACGGAGGGAUGUAUUUAUUAGAUUAAAAACCAAUGCCCUCUGGGCUCUCUGGUGAUUCAUGAUAACUUCUCGAAUCGCACGGCCUUGCGCCGGCGAUGGUUCAUUCAAAUUUCUUCCCUAUCAACUUUCGAUGUUUGGGUAGUGGCCAAACAUGGUUGCAACGGGUAACGGAGGGUUAGGGCUCGACCCCGGAGAAGGAGCCUGAGAAACGGCUACUACAUCCAAGGAAGGCAGCAGGCGCGCAAAUUACCCAAUCCCGACACGGGGAGGUAGUGACAAUAAAUACUGAUACAGGGCUCUUUUGGGUCUUGUAAUUGGAAUGAGUACAAUUUAAAUCCCUUAACGAGGAACAAUUGGAGGGCAAGUCUGGUGCCAGCAGCCGCGGUAAUUCCAGCUCCAAUAGCGUAUAUUAAAGUUGUUGUGGUUAAAAAGCUCGUAGUUGAACCUUGGGCCUGGCUGGCCGGUCCGCCUCACCGCGUGCACUGGUCCGGCCGGGCCUUUCCCUCUGCGGAACCCCAUGCCCUUCACUGGGCGUGGCGGGGAAACAGGACUUUUACUUUGAAAAAAUUAGAGUGCUCCAGGCAGGCCUAUGCUCGAAUACAUUAGCAUGGAAUAAUGAAAUAGGACGUGCGGUUCUAUUUUGUUGGUUUCUAGGACCGCCGUAAUGAUUAAUAGGGACAGUCGGGGGCAUCAGUAUUCAAUUGUCAGAGGUGAAAUUCUUGGAUUUAUUGAAGACUAACUACUGCGAAAGCAUUUGCCAAGGAUGUUUUCAUUAAUCAGGAACGAAAGUUAGGGGAUCGAAGACGAUCAGAUACCGUCGUAGUCUUAACCAUAAACUAUGCCGACUAGGGAUCGGACGAUGUUAUUAUUUGACUCGUUCGGCACCUUACGAGAAAUCAAAG
rnacentral:rRNA from 1 species